rnacentral:tRNA from 3 species
GGAGGAGUAAUCAAGCCUGGCCAAAGUAAGCACAUAGUGCUUUUGAUCCUGUCUCUCAGGAGUUCGUGGGUUCAAAUCCCACCUCCUCCA